rnacentral:rRNA from 1 species
GACGAACGCUGGCGGCGUGCCUAAUACAUGCAAGUAGAACGCUGAAGGAGGAGCUUGCUUCUCCGGAUGAGUUGCGAACGGGUGAGUAACGCGUAGGUAACCUGCCUGGUAGCGGGGGAUAACUAUUGGAAACGAUAGCUAAUACCGCAUAAGAGUAGAUGUCGCAUGACAUUUGCUUAAAAGGUGCAACUGCACCACUACCAGAUGGACCUGCGUUGUAUUAGCUAGUUGGUGAGGUAACGGCUCACCAAGGCAACGAUACAUCGCCGACCUGAGAGGGUGAUCGGCCACACUGGGACUGAGACACGGCCCAGACUCCUACGGGAGGCAGCAGUAGGGAAUCUUCGGCAAUGGACGGAAGUCUGACCGAGCAACGCCGCGUGAGUGAAGAAGGGUUUCGGAUCGUAAAGCUCUGUUGUAAGAGAAGAACGAGUGUGAGAGUGGAAAGUUCACACUGUGACGGUAUCUUACCAGAAAGGGACGGCUAACUACGUG